rnacentral:rRNA from 1 species
GAUGAACGCUGGCGGCGUGCCUAAUAUAUGCAAGUCGAGCGAACAGAUAAGGAGCUUGCUCCGGUGACGAUAGCGGCGGACGGGUGAGUAACACGUGGGUAACCGACCUAUAAGACUGGGAUAACUUCGGGAAACCGGAGCUAAGACCGGAUAAAAUUUGGAACCGCAUGGUUCUAAAGUGAAAGAUGGUUUUGCGAUCACGGAUAGAGGGAACCGCUCCGUAUUAGCUAGUUGGAAAGGUAACGGCUUACCAAGGCGACGAUACGUAGCCGACCGGAGAGGCUUGUCUGCCUCUCUAGACCUGAGACCCGGGCCCGACGCCCACGCGAGCAAGCAGUCGGCAAUCUUCCCCACAAGCCGAAAGCCUGCCGGCUCACCGCCGUGUGGAUGAUGAUGGUUUUCCGAUCGUACAACUCUGUUAUUAGGGAAGAACAAAUUUCUAAGUAACUGUGCACGUCUUGACGUUACCUCCUCAGAAAGCCACGGCUAGCUACGUG